rnacentral:rRNA from 1 species
AAAACGGCUACCACUUCUACGGAAGGCAGCAGGCGCGCAAAUUACCCAAUCCUGACACAGGGAGGUAGUGACAAUAAAUAUCAAUGUCAGGCCCAAGUGGUUUGACAAUUGGAAUGAGAACAAUUUAAAUCCCUUAGCGAGUAACAAUUGGAGGGCAAGUCUGGUGCCAGCAGCCGCGGUAAUUCCAGCUCCAAUAGCGUAUUCUAAAGUUGUUGCAGUUAAAAAGCUCGUAGUUGGAUUGAAUAGCAGUGGUUGCGGCGAGCGCGAGGAAUCGUGCGCGUUGGGGCAGCUGCUAUUGCACGCGAACCAUUGGGUUACUGCGGUCAUUCACUUGGCUGUGGGUUUGUGCGCGCGAGAGCGUGCGCAUUGUGCGCAAGUGCAAAAUCGGUGGUUCAAUUUACUCGGAGUAAAUUAGAGUGUUUCAAGCAGCCUCUUGGGGUUUUGAAUAUUAAAGCAUAGGAUGAGGGAAUGGUCUUGUGAGAGUUUCGCCGUUUGUGCCGUUCCGCCGGCCACGUAAGGUUUCUCUUGCACACAAGACAAUGAUUAAAAGGAGCAGUUGGGGGCAUUUGUAUUUCGUUGCUAGAGGUGAAAUUCUUGGAUUUACGAAAGACACACGUAUGCGAAAGCAUUUGUCAAGGAUGCAUUCAUUAAUCAAGAACGAAAGUUAGGGGAUCGAAGACGAUUAGAUACCGUCGUAGUCUUAACUAUAAACGAUGCCGACCAAGUUUUCGAGGUACUUUUUUGGCGCGCUCGUAGCGAUACGCGGCGCGCACAAAAGAUUCCCCGAGCGCUUUGUGAGAAAUCACAAGUUUUUAGGUUCCGGGGGGAGUAUGUUCGCAAGAAUGAAACUUAAAGGAAUUGACGGAGAGGCACCACCAGGAGUGGAACCUGCGGCUUAAUUUGACCCAACACGGGGAAACUUACCGCGUCCAGAUGUAAGAAGGAUUGACAGAUUGAAGUUCUUUCAAGAUUUUACAGGUGGUGGUGCAUGGCCGUUCUUAGUUGGUGAAUUGGUUUGUCUGGUCAACUCCGAUAACGAACGAGACUUUAAUAUUUUAGUAUGGGUUUGAGUGAGCCAGUGCGCAAGUGCUGGUGAACUCAGGGUCAGGGAAUGACACACGUGAAACUCAUCAUUAAAUAGACAACUAGCAAAAAGCUAGGGGAAGCAUAAAGCAAAAACAGGUCUGUGAUGCCCUUCGAUGAUGCGGGCCGCACGCGGGUUACAAUGAUAUUUUCAACAAGUCGCACGGCCGUGGCGUAAGCUGCAGCCAAUCCUGUUUCGAAAGGAAUGGGUAAUCUUUGAAACAAUAUCAAGCUGGGGAUAGAUGAUUGUAAUUAUUCAUCUUGAACGAGGAAUUCCUAGUAAGUGCAGUUCAUCAAACUGCGCUGAUUACGUCCCUGCCUCUUGUACACACCGCCCGUCGCUGCUACUGAUGUAUGUUUGGGUGAAAUAAUCGGAUUUUCGUGCUUUAACGUAAGGCAAAGAGCGAAGAAAUGUUUCUUAAAUCUUAACGUGUAGAGGAAGCAAAAGUCGUAACAAGGUUUCCGUAGGUGAACCUGCGGAAG